rnacentral:miRNA from 1 species
UUCUAGGUAAUUUAAGCUACAAA